ACGUUAGCUGCAGAAGAAGCACCGGCUAACUCCGUGCCAGCAGCCGCGGUAAGUACGGAGGGUGCGAGCGUUAAUCGGAAUUACUGGGCGUAAAGCGCAUGCAGGUGGUUUGUUAAGUCAGAUGUGAAAGCCCGGGGCUCAACCUCGGAAUUGCAUUUGAAACUGGCAAACUAGAGUACUGUAGAGGGGGUAGAAUUUCAGGUGUAGCGGUGAAAAUGCGUAGAGAUCUGAAGGAAUACCGGUGGCGAAGGCGGCCCCCUGGACAGAUACUGACACUCAGAUGCGAAAGCGUGGGGAGCAAACAGGAUUAGAUACCCUGGUAG
rnacentral:rRNA from 1 species